GACGAACGCUGGCGGCGUGCUUAACACAUGCAAGUCGAACGGAAAGGCCCUGCUUUUGUGGGGUGCUCGAGUGGCGAACGGGUGAGUAACACGUGAGUAACCUGCCCUUGACUUUGGGAUAACUUCAGGAAACUGGGGCUAAUACCGGAUAGGAGCUCCUGCUGCAUGGUGGGGGUUGGAAAGUUUCGGCGGUUGGGGAUGGACUCGCGGCUUAUCAGCUUGUUGGUGGGGUAGUGGCUUACCAAGGCUUUGACGGGUAGCCGGCCUGAGAGGGUGACCGGCCACGUUGGGACUGGGCUACGGCCCAGACUCCUACGGGAGGCAGCAGUGGGGAAUAGUGCACAAUGGGCGGAAGCCUGAUGCAGCCACGCCGCGUGCGGGAUGACGGCCUUCGGGUUGUAAACCGCUUUCGCCUGUGACGAAGCGUGAGUGACGGUAAUGGGUAAAGAAGCACCGGCUAACUACGUG
rnacentral:rRNA from 1 species